rfam:Triticum aestivum genome assembly, contig: Triticum_aestivum_CS42_TGACv1_scaffold_050618_1BS
AUUGUACUCCCUCCGUCCGGAAAUAGUUGUCGGAGAAAUAUAUACAAAUGGAUGUACCUAGAACUAAAAUAUGUCGAGAUACAUUCAUUUUUUUGGACAAGUAUUCCCGGACGGAGGGAGUAUAUC